rnacentral:rRNA from 1 species
AAUGAACGUUGGCGGCGUGGAUUAGGCAUGCAAGUCGCGCGAUUUCCUUCGGGGAAGAGCGGCGGAAGGGAGAGUAACGCGUAGAUACCUACCCUCGGGACUGGAAUAGCGACGGGAAACUGUCGGUAAUGCCAGAUAACGUCCCUGGACCAAAGGUGUGAAUCCGCCUGAGGAGGGGUCUGCGUCCUAUUAGCUAGUUGGCGGGGUAACGGCCCACCAAGGCGAAGAUGGGUACCGGGCGUGAGAGCGUGACCCGGCUCACGGGGACUGAGACACUGCCCAGACACCUACGGGUGGCUGCAGUCGAGAAUCUUCGGCAAUGAGCGCAAGCUUGACCGAGCGACGCCGCGUGCGGGAUGAAGGCUUUCGGGUUGUAAACCGCUGUCAGUGGGGAGGAAAUUCUUGGGGGUACUCCCCCUUGAUUGACCGAUCCGCAGAGGAAGGACGGGCUAAGUUCGUGCCAGCAGCCGCGGUAAUAC